rnacentral:rRNA from 1 species
CACGAACGCUGGCGGCAGGCUUAACACAUGCAAGUCGAGCGCCCCGCAAGGGGAGCGGCAGACGGGUGAGUAACGCGUGGGAAUCUACCCAUCUCUACGGAAUAACGCAUGGAAACGUGUGCUAAUACCGUAUACGUCCUUCGGGAGAAAGAUUUAUCGGAGAUGGAUGAGCCCGCGUUGGAUUAGCUAGUUGGUGGGGUAAAGGCCUACCAAGGCGACGAUCCAUAGCUGGUCUGAGAGGAUGAUCAGCCACACUGGGACUGAGACACGACCCAUAGUCCUACGGGAGGCAGCAGUGGGGAAUAUUGGACAAUGGGCUCAAGCCUGAUCCAGCCAUGCCGCGUGAGUGAUGAAGGCCCUAGGGUUGUAAAGCUCUUUCAUCGGUGAAGAUAAUGACGGUAACCGGAGAAGAAGCCCCGGCUAACUUCGUGCCAGCCGCCGCGGUAAAAC